rnacentral:lncRNA from 1 species
GAACCUCUUUUGAGCAGAUUUUUAGUAAGGAAGUGAGAUAACUCCUGGAUCUGUUAAACACUGCAAUAAGCCCUUACUCUUUGUUUCCAUAAGAAUGUUAUACGCUACCAUCAACAAUGAAAACUUUCCUUCUCCUCCUCUAUGACAUCGCCAGCAGGCUCUGUAAGCAUCUGUGGGCUGUGUCUUCAUAGCCACCUUCUAAGUGUAUUCUAUCAGCCUUCACUGACAAUGUUAUUGACAAAUGCCUUUAUGACAUAAUGACUUGCUAAAUUAAUAGUAGCAAAUGUGUCAAUUAAUUAAAAGAUACAGAGAAUAACUCCCCUUCCUUUUGAAGAGAUACUAACACAGACAGAGACAGGCAGAGUCAUUAAUCAGCCUUUUCUCCUUAAUUCAACACAUCUUCAGCGAUAAAUGCUUGGUUGAUUAAAAGGGACAGUCAUUCAUAUUAACUAUGAGAGAUAAGACUAUCGGCACUCAGUUGAACAUUUAAAGAUUUAGGAAGCUGCUCUUUAAAAUGAAUGUUUAAGGGAGUUUCAGUCACUAACAGCUAUGUAAAGUGGAGUUGGCUGGCUCUUACCUGCUAUCAAAAUCUUCCUUUAAUCCAAGACCCACUGUUUCAAGAGGAGGAGGUGGGUCCUGCUGGUCCUUCAGCAGAGACUAGAGAAGUCUGCAGAUCUUCCUGUCAAGAAACAGGUACACAGGGCAAUGUUUAAGUAGAGGAUUUUGUGCCCUUGAGAUCUUUGCUACCACAGAGCAAGAUAAGAGAACCACAGGUAGUAAGCUGCAUUGAAAGAAUUCAAAGUCACUUAUUACAAAGUCAAGAUUACAUUUCUGAGUACAGACUAAAUUCAGUGCUGCAUGCAUAUAUUUUUUAAAUUAUUUUUUUUCAUCACAGAAUCCCAUACAGUUUUCCACAUGGAACCUUGUCUCACUUCCAGAAAAAUUAGACUCUCAGGAAGUCACCUGGUUCUGUGUUCUCCAGUUGUAGACAAAAAGGACACCAUGCCAAACUUUAUUUUCACCAAAGUGUUAGUGAGGCAGAUUCUGUGUUAUGAAGAUCUACUGCAGUCCUGUGAGUCUUUCAUGCAGGAGGUGGAACCAGCAGAGGGAGAGAAGACUAGCCAAGCAAACAGUGCUGCGAUCUCUUGGACUAAGGCACAGCAGGUGAGCUGCUGCUACAGCUGUCUCUGCUGUGUUUUUUCUGUGUAUGACAGAAGGAUUUUAAUUCAACAGGCUUUUGAUAGAAAGCACUUCACAAAGCUCUGCCUUACAUACUGCAGUGAGAAUUAUUAUCUUUUGUUUUACCAGCUAAUGUGGUCUGCAACUGGGCAAGUUCCACAUAAACAGGCAGUGCAGAGCACACAGCAUCAGUCAGGAUUUAAAACCAAGCUCUGUUUAAUCUCUCAAGUGUAGGAGUCUGCUUUUGCUAAUAAAAAAUGCAGCACUCAAUUUCUUGAAAGACUU